AUAUAGGGAUUGAAGCCAUGCAA
rnacentral:miRNA from 1 species